rnacentral:rRNA from 1 species
UACGUAGGGUGCAAGCGUUGUCCGGAAUUAUUGGGCGUAAAGAGCUCGUAGGCGGUUUGUCGCGUCGAAUGUGAAAACCCGGGGGCUCAACCCCGGGCCUGCAUUCGAUACGGGCAGACUAGAGUUCGGUAGGGGAGUCUGGAAUUCCUGGUGUAGCGGUGAAAUGCGCAGAUAUCAGGAGGAACACCGGUGGCGAAGGCGGGACUCUGGGCCGAUACUGACGCUGAGGCGCGAAAGCUAGGGGAGCAAACAGG